rnacentral:lncRNA from 1 species
GUGACAAGACCUGAUAUUUCUGGCUUUCGGGAUCACACAGCACCAUGUUUGGCAAACGGAUUUGAAGAAGGCAAGAGCCAAAGCAAGGAGACCAAUCAAACGGUUCCUGUGGUAAGGGUGAUGAUGGAGCAGAUGGAUAGGAGUGGAGAGAGUCAGGAUUUUGAUAAGGUGGUAGUGUUUUGAGAGUUCUCUGAAUAACAUUUUUGCCUAAUUUUAUAAAAAUAAAAAGGACUUGAAAUUUCUUUGAAAACAGAACUUUGAAACAUAAUCAGCCACAAUUCAGGAUGCCACACUGGUGAACGAGCAGGAAAGCCUAAGAAUGAUACAUCCCAGGAAGAUGGGGCAGGGUGACCCCAGGACUGUCUUCGUGGGUAGCUCCAAGGGACUUUUGAGAGCAGCAGAACCAGACAAGUUUCUCUGGCUCUUCUAUUCCCUCCCCAUUCUACUCCCUACUUUCACGGUCUCAUGUCUCUUUGAGUAAAGGCCAGCUUUUGUUAAAGCUGCUACUCAAGGAGGGAUGGAGACCGUUCCUUGACACAUCUGUGCCUGACUCACCAACAUCCUACAGACAGUCUGAAGGUUGAGGACCCUCUUUGCUAACACUCUGCUUGCUCUUCAAUCCAUGGAAGUUGAAGGCAGCUGCAAGUGGGGCUUUACCAGAGUCUGCAGAGCAUGCAUUAUUGGUUGCUACAUAGAAGCAGUUGGCCAGAAUUUCUUCCUACCUGAGAGCCUGCCCCUUCUUGUAAACAGUCAUGGCCGGAUAUUUUUUUCUUUCAACCCUCCUUUGUAGCCAGAUCGCCAGUCUCAGAGUAUUGUCUUGGGCCUUACAUUUGCUCUCUAAUGACUGUAGGAUGGCUGCCUCUGUUUCCCAACUAGAAUUGGCUACAGUCUGGGUUUUGCCAAUUGAAUCCUCAUGAUGUGACUUAAAACAGCCCUCUGUUCUCUAUAUUUCCUAUAAAGUUGUAAACCUCAAUAUGUGUGAUCCUUACAACAACUAAACAAGGCAGGGCUAUUAAUUCAUGGCUCCAUAUUAUGGAGGAAUGAACUGAGGCACAGAAAGGUUCCAUUCCAGAGCUCAUGAUGCCAGGGUUUGAAUCCAAGCAGAUGCUUUUAACCUCUAUCCUGCACACAGAGAAAUGCAUCAGAAAGACACGAAUGCAACUCCCUUUGGUUGCACGUUCUCCAGGAACAGCUAACUGGCUGGCUCGUAAGCCUAGAAAUCAAUUAACUCAAUUAGCAGCAGUUACUGAGCAUCUGUAGCGUGUGCUGGGCUGAACUGUGGGAAACCAAGAUGGACAAGAUGAUGCUGAAGAUGAUGAGAGCUGCCAUGCUGAGAUCUUACUGUGUACCAGGCCCCAUGCUAGGUGCUGGGGAUACAGCGAUGAUCAUCACAGUCAAAGCGAAUUUCAUGAUGGAGCAUAUAUAUCCUUGUGAAAGAUGAGCAGUGAAUUAAAUUCUGUAACGGGGAUUAUUCAGAGCUGUGCAGUCCAAUCCAGGAGUCACAUGUGACUAUUUAAGUACAAUUAAAUAAAAUUUAAAAUUUACUUCCUCAGUUGCACUAGCCUCUUAUAAUUGCUUUAAUAUUUUUAAAUGUGUCAUUUUCCCCCUUUUGUUUUUUUUUUUCAAAAAACUUGCUUGAUUGAGAUGAACUUAUAUACCAUUCAAAGGACCCAUUUAAAACGAACAAUUCUUUGGUGUUCAGGAUAAUCAUAGAGUUUGACACCUGUCAUUGCUAUCAAUUUCAGAACAUUUUCAUCCUCCUCCCCUAAAUUCUAGCAUCCAUUAGCAAUUCCCCAUUUCCCUACCAAGUCCACUUCUCUCCAGCCCCAGGCAACCACUAACCUAUUUUCUUUCCUUUCUUUUUCUUUUUUUUUUUUUUAAAGAUUUAUUUAUUUAUUCAUGAGAAACAGAGAGAGAGAAAGAGAGGUAGAGACACAGGCAGAGGGAGAAGCAGGCUCCAUGCAGGGAGCCCAACGUGGGACUCGAUCCUGGGCCUCCAAGAUCAUGCCCUGGGCCAAAGUGGGUGCUAAACCGCUGAGCCACCCAGGCUGCCCUAUUUUCUUUCUUUAUAGACUUGCCCCUUCCAAACAUUUCCUAUAAAUGGAAUCAAACAACACAGCCUUUUGUACCUGGCUUUUUUCAGUUCACAUAAUGUGUUCAAGACAAGGCUCAUCAUUGUCGUAGCACACAUCGGUACUUCAUUCCUUUUACUGCUGAAUAAUAUUCCAUUAUAUGAAUGUAUUACGUUUUGUUGAUCCAUCUGUCAGUUGACAGAGAUUUGGAGUGUUUUCACUUUUUUGAAUAAGGCUCCUAUGAGAAUUCAGGUACAAGCUUUCACGUGGAUGUUCAUUUCUCUUAAAUACCUAACAGUAAAAUUGCUGGGUUCUAUUGCAACUCUGUGUUUAACCUUUUGAGGAACUGUCAGACUUUUUUUCCCAAACUUUGUGACCUUUUAUAUUGCUACCAGCAAAGUAGAUGGGUUCCAGGUCCCCCAAAUCCUUCUCAACACUUGUUAUUAUGUUUUCUAAUUCUAGCCAUCCUGGUGGGUAUGAAGUAGUAGCUCAUUGUGGGUUUGUGUGUGUGUGUGUGUGUGUGUGUGUGUGUCUGUGUUUGAUUUACAUCGUCUUAAUGGCGAAUAAUGUUGAGUAUCUUUUCAUGUGCUUACUAGUCACUUGUAUAACUUCUUCGAAGAAAAUGUCUAUGCAGAUGCUUUGCCUUGUGCACAUGUUAUCUUAGCCUAAAAAUACAGUAUAAAAUGUUUUAAAGCACAAUGAGCAAAUAGUAAAUGUUGGAGAGGGUAGACUCUGGGUUUGAAACCAUACAUAACUUUUUGUCAUUGUCAAAUAUUAAUAUUUCCCCCGUCCUUUAUCUUCUUCUGAUUUGAAAAAAGUAGCACAAUAUAUUUUUUUA